rnacentral:rRNA from 1 species
ACUCAAAGGAAUUGACGGGGGCCCGCACAAGCGGAGGAACAUGUGGUUUAAUUCGAUGAUACGCGAGGAACCUUACCUGGGCUCGAACGCGGGGGGAAUGCCGGGGAAACCCGGCAGCCGGCAACGGCCGCCCGCGAGGUGCUGCAUGGUUGUCGUCAGCUCGUGCCGUGAGGUGUCGGGUUAAGUCCCAUAACGAGCGCAACCCCUACCGCCAGUUGCCAGCGGGUGAAGCCGGGGACUCUGGCGGGACUGCCGGCGUAAGCCGAGAGGAAGGCGGGGAUGACGUCAAAUCAGCACGGCCCUUACGUCCAGGGCUACACACGUGUUACAAUGGCCGGUACAGAGGGAGGCGACCCCGCGAGGGGGAGCGGAUCCCGAAAGCCGGUCGUAGUUCGGAUCGGGGUCUGGAACCCGACCCCGUGAAGCCGGAUUCGCUAGUAAUCGCGCAUCAGCCAUGGCGCGGUGAAUACGUUCCCGGGCCUUGUACACACCGCCCGU